CGCGUCCAACGGCAACGUUCGACGUGACGGCGCAGAGGUCAGCCGAAGCCAUAGUAAUCGCACGCCCGUGGACGGGCCUCGCGGUGAAGGGC
rfam:Halorhodospira halochloris str. A genome.